AAAUAAUUAUAAUGGUUAUAUUGCAGAUGGCAAAACCAACUUUGUGCUACACAAAUUAGAUGCAGUAGAUGAGGCAAACUAUGGAUAUAACUACAGCUUAGUAGGAGGAACAGGGUUGGAUGAAAGUUUAGAGAAAGUUGAAUUCGAGACAAAUAUUGUUGCUGGGUCUGAUGGUGGAUCCAUUGUUAAGAUUUCAGUGAAAUAUCACACCAAAGGUGAUGCAGUUCUAUCUGAUGCAGUACGUGAGGAGACUAAGGCCAAAGGAACUGGUCUUAUCAAGGCUAUUGAGGGCUACGUCUUGGCAAACCCUAAUUACUAGCCAAUUAAACCCUAUUGAGGACUUUAAUUUGGGUUGUGUUGUUUUAUGCGAAUAAUAAUUAAAGUUUAUGAUGUAGUUGAAUGUGUGUUGAGUAUACAUCAAGGUCUUUGGUUCGUACAUGUGUGUUGGCUAUGUUGGAUGUUGUGAGGUUUGAGUGUUAUUUUGGGUGUUUAAAAACAAAAACCUAUGUUGUGUUGGUGAUAAGGUUUUGCACCAUUUGUAUUCUGCAAUAAAUAAUGCAAAAGAAUUUUAUAGCACUUUCGGUUAUUUGAAUUUAAUUUAGGAUCACAUCAAACUAACAGUGCAUAUGACUUUCGAUUGGUAAUUUUAACCAAAGCUGUCUACAAUUAUUUAAAUAGUUUGGUUGAGUUUUGUCUUGAAUUGAUUUGAGCAAUUUAAAGUAAGUGAAUCAUAUUUUGAAAGAGUCAUCAUGACAAAUUUGAUUUUUAAAACAAAACCCCCAGUGUGUAAAAUAAGCAUGAUGAUGAGGCGGGUGAUGAUGAGUUUUACCUUCCCCAUCCUUAUACCCUACUCUCAUAUACUUACCUGCCACUUUACCUAUAUCUAAUGAGGGUGAGAAGUCGAACCCCAUCACUGUCUCCGACGGGUUUAGGUAUCCCCGCGUCAUCUCCGUUGUGGAUAAUUUUUUUUAAUGAAAAAAGUGUUUUUCUACUUCAGGCGCAAUGUUGUAAUACAUUAUCCUACAAAGAGAUGAUGACGAUCGAUAACUACGUUGAUGGAGAAGUGAGAGACCGAGAUUGAGAAGUGAGAAUCAUCUGAGAGACUAAGACUCUGACUAUGUGAGGAGAAUAAAGAGAACUCUGAGAAGUGAGUGUCAUCUGAGAGACUAAGUUUUGAUUGUGUGAGUGAAAUGAUUUAGGGUUUGAGUUUCUAUUUAUAUAAAAUGGAUAAUAAAUUGAUUUUCUACAUGUGGGGCGGGUUUGAGUGUGGGUUCGGGGUGAAUACAUAUAUCCUCGUUACCUAUCCAGUAUCCAUGUUUUGAAUCAUGGAAAAUUCAAACUCAUACCCAAAUCCAAUAAAAGCAGAGAAAAUCCGUCAAAUUAGAUUUGUUUCAAAUGGGUACCCGCAGAUAUGCAUUUUGUUGUCUUACCUCAAAAUCACUAUUUAGUAUAGAAAAGUUAACUUGUAACUAAUGUACAACUUAAAGUUAAGAAGUUAAAUGCAAAAUUAUAUUUAGAAAUUGCGCAUUUCUUAUCCUAAAGUUUCUUCUUUUUCAAGGGUAAUUCCUUGAGAGUUUAAAAACUAAAUUUUAAUUCAAUACAAAAAUUUUGUUUUGAUUUCAUUUUUAGAUCGUUAAUUUGUGUCCUUGGUAUACAAAUUAACCUAACUCAUUGAGUAUGUGUUUGUUUUUUCUUAAAAAGAGUAUGUGUUUAGCUGUAAAAUAACAUUAAACAUGAGUCGUCCAACCUGACACUCUAAUUAGUAGCUUCUGAACCUCAUGAUUAAAUGGUAACUCACAUUGGCUGUGAACUAACUCUAUCCCAAAUUGGUGCUUAAUACGCUAAUUUAGGGAUAUUUGUGGUGCAGUUUGAAUUAGUUUUGAUGCAAAUAGUCAUCAUAUUUAAAAUAAAAAUCGCAUGCGGAAAAUAUAGGGUAAAAUAUAACGUUUAAUGGAAAAUAUAGCAUGAAUAUAUAUUAAAAAAUAAUAUUACAGAAUAAAAAUUAUCAAUUAUAUUCUAAACAUAGGAAGAAGUAAUACUAUACAAUAAAUUAAUGCAAUAUAUAAAAAAAAAUAAAAAAUAAAACCGAGAAGCUAUAUAUUAAUGCAAUACACACACUAAUAAAAUAAUAAAUAAGUAUUAAAAUUUACAAAACAACAUCCAAAAAAAAUCAAUUUUUUUGUUGUUGUUUUUUUUGGAUUAGUGUACGGUUUUAUUUUGGAUGCGUUUGAAUUUGAAUAACCACAUGCCUACUAGGCUAACUGUGUAUAUUAUUUAGGAAAUGUCAUAAAAGGUACUCCCUCAAUCUUAAAUAAUUAUCAUUAUUUAACUUUCAUCCAUAUCAAUGUACAAUUUUAACUAUUAAUAUUCUUAGUUAUUUAUUAAUAAAAGUUGUAAAAAAUUGAUAUUUUAAAAAUAUUCGUUGAGAUAAAUUGAACAAUAUUUUAUUUACUAACAUUUUAUUUACAAAUAUGAUCAAAGUAGAUUAUGUGAAUCGUACGUAUGGUCAAACUAUGACAAUAAUUUUGAAAUAGAUGGAGUAAUUUUGAAAAUAGAAAAGAGAAAUGUUAGCUAGUGCCUUCCGGUGCACUAGCUAUAUGAAAAACGUGUGGAGUAAUUUUGAAACCAAUAUAGAAAAUUGUGUUGAGAAGUAUGAAAAAGUUGUACGUUCAACUUUUUAAAAGUCAAAAAUUUAUUAUUUUUAUAAAAAAAAAAAUCUACUUCUAAUUUUUUUAACUAAUGCUCCAUAAUCAAUAGUUAGCAUGACUGGAUAAAAAAUGACAUAUCAUAUCAUACUAACAAAUGUUCUAAAGUUACAUUGUUAUGGACAUUUGUUAGCAUUUUUUACUUUUAUUAAAAAAAUAGGCAUUUCACACGGUUACUUUUGGCUUUAUCACAUUUUGCGUUCACAUAUCUUUGUAAAUAAAUAUGCCUUAUAUUGAUCAGGAGUAAAUUGGAACACAACUAGCAUCUCUCCAUUUCUCUCUAUCAUCAUGUGUAUAUCACAAUUUUUUGAAGAAGUUAAAGAAAUCAUGUUAAAAAUCAAAUAAAGCUCCUUUAACAUAUGGUGCGUCAAAGCAACCUAAUAAUCCAAACAGCUCACAUUACAACAUGUCGUAACAACCCAACAAAAAAUUAGAAAACUAUCUUUAAGCAAAACAAAGGAUUUUGCCUCGAAAACACGUGAUAUAAUUUUAACCACCAAUAAAUUUGUAGUUUAAUUUUUUCACUCAGAGAUUGAAGUUGAUUACUCUUCUGUUGAAAGAUCCUAACAUUUCUUUCUUUGAAAUGACGCAAAGCACUGAAAAGUCGAAAGAAGUUCUCCUUGGCGAAUCCCUUUUUUCAACUUAAACUCAUUAGUAAGGCUACCAUUCACAAGUACCGAAGUCGUUGCUGUUGAGACACAUUCUAAAAUCCAUUGACUCCAGCGCUAAGGGUAAUUCAGUUUGGUCAUCAAAUCUCCCAAAUACCUCCAAUGAACUGAGUCAUAGGUUUUUUUGAAAUCAACCUUAAAAAGAAUAAGUUCUUUCUUAGAUUUACACGCAUCACCCUUUAACUCAUUGGCUAUCAGAAUUGCAUCUAAAAUUUGUCUACCUUUUACAAAAGCAAACUAAGAUUCUGAAACACCAUUACUAACCACCUUCCUCAAUCUAUUAGCAAGAACUUUUGACAAAAUUUUAUACACCCUCCGUCCCUUAAUGUAGGCACCUAUUGCCUUUUCACAUUUCUUAAGAAAUGUUGUCAGUGUAAUUAAUGUGUUUGUUUUGUGUGUUAAUAAUUAUCCUUGGUUUGUAUGUAUUAAAUUUGACUUUUCAUAUUUCAAGACAAGUUAGUAGUAUUAAUUAGGGAUAUGUUUAGGAAAAAAUUAAUAAACGCAUCUAGUAAUUUGAAAUGGAAUUUAAAUUUAGAGAAAAAAAUAAAAUCAAACGGAAACUUAGAUAUAAGGACGGGGGAGUAUAAGCUACCAACCAAAGAAAUAGGUUGAAAAUAUGCCAACUUCUAAAGACUCUUAGCUUUGGGAAUCGAAGUAAUAAAAGUAUUUAUGUCCUUUGUUAACUUACCAUUGUGAUGAAACUCAACAAACAAAUUCUUUGAUAAAACCAAUAUUAAUCUCAUCUUGCUCAGGACUCUUAUAACUAUCACAAUCUCACACUCAUGCCUCUAUCUCUUCCAACAAAAAAGGUAUAAUAAGAUCAGCCACAUCCUUCAUACUAAUAGUUUUAAAAGAAAGAUCCCCUAACCCAGGUCUGGACUCCAUUGCAACUUUAAAAUUAGAUUGAAAAUGUUGAAAAGCCACACUCCUCGCCCCUUCCACACCCUUAAUCUGAACACCUUUAACAUUAAUAGAAAUAAUCACAGUUGACCCGUCUCCUAGAAGACACCACCCCAUGGAAAAAAAAAAAAAAAACGAAUUAGCACCACCCUUCUUUAACCAAGUCGAUCUAGAUUUUUGCCACUGAAUACUAAAAUGUAAUUUAUAUAAAGCCACAACAUCUGCUAAUAGAAAUCAAAGAGAGAAAUCAACAUAUCAAACAAAACGAAACCGAAGAACCAAUGCAAAUUGAACUAAAUAACCAACCUAAAUCAAACCACCAUUAAUCAAAUCAUCCUUAUCAAAUCCACCAAUCAAUCACAAUACUAACAAUUCCAUCGUGUGAAGAACAAUGAAUUCAAAUGGAGAAAAACUAAUGGAUAUCAAAAUAAAUCCAUAGAGAACAACCGUGACAAUUGCUUAACAAAUAGUAAUUCAACUAAAAAGAAAAGUCCUAAUCCAACAAAAACCAACACAUUAAUAUCCAAGUGCCAUCAGGACUCAACUGAAUCUUUGAAUCAAAAAAAUAAUAGAUAGCUAAAACAAUAAAUCUUAUAGUUUACAAACAAAUCAAAAUGCAAAACAGAUUCCUAAUUUUUUUUUUUUUUUUUUUGAAAAAUUAACAACGGAAUAGCCGUGAAUCAUAUAAGGAGGGUCAAAACAUGCUCUUGAUACCAUGUUAACAAUAUUAGGUUUAGAGCUCUUAUACAUGGAGCAUCGUAGGUGACAUACAAACUUUCACGGUGUGAUGUGAAAUUACUAAAAUACCCCUGUCACAUGGGGGUAUACAUGAGAGGUACAUAAAAAAGGAUGUCUAUCUAUCUUUUUUCAUAGAUUUAAUAAAAAAGGGAGAAUAACACAAAACAACUAGAAUUUUAUAAAAUGUAGAUGACUUAACAUUACAAAAGGUUAACAUAAACCUAAUGGAUUACUAACUUAAUAAUAGUUUAAGUUAAAAACUUUAUUAUCUAACCAAUUUUAUCUACUUCCAAUAUAUCACCUACGAAUUUUCUAUUUUUGAAUCCCGUCUACACUCUGAGUCAUGGAAUACUGCGAGACUAUUUCAUAUUGAUUUUCGUAACCCAAUUCAAGAUAACACAAAGAGGGUUGACCCAAUCACAAUCACCAAUAAAUAAAUGAGCUUUUGUCAAAAAAAGACGACCUGAUCAAUGAGCUAUUUUUCAACAAAAUAAAGUGAGAUUUACGAACAAGCCACAAGGUAUGUCCUACCAAAGUUCUAUAAAUACCAUUCCUCACCAUCUCAUAAACCCACAUCACAAGCGAAAUUAGUUGUAUUCAUAUUAUACAUUUCUCUUUUCAUUUUCUUCUUGUAUAUUGAUCCUUUUUAACUAUCUUGAUAUAUAUCAUGGGUGUUUUUACUUUCAACGAUGAACAUGUCUCAACCGUGGCUCCAGCUAAACUCUACAAAGCUCUUGCAAAAGAUGCUGAUGAAAUAGUCCCAAAGGUGAUUUCUGCUGCCCAAAGUGUUGAAAUUGUUGAAGGAAAUGGUGGACCUGGCACCAUCAAAAAGUUAUCCAUGUCUGAAGGUAAUUCAUUAAGAGCAUUUACUAUAUCCCUGUCAAAAAAAUACAACUUUAUUAAUUAGUAAUUCAAUAGACAUGUUAAGAAAUCAUAUACUCACUUUUAUUUUUGAAUUAGAUUUUGAGUGUUGAAGGAGACCAAUGAUAAUACAUAAACUGAGUCUAUAUAUAAAUAAUAAGCUUCAAGAAACAACUAAUUUCCAUGGAAAAAGAAUAUAUAAGAUACUUCAUGCAAGAUUCAAGAGAACCACUAAACUGGAGACAGGGCCGGCCUAAGGACCAAACAACCUAAACAAGGGUUUUAGGCUUCAAAACUUUUGGUAAAAAAAAAGGUCUUUAAAAAAUUAAUUUGGUCAUAAGUAUAUUAUAUGACAGAUAAAUUACAGACAUUUGAAUAGCUUAACUGAUCAAAAAGGUUUUAAUUACUCAUGGUCAUGAAUUCAAAUUUUGGUCUCCACGCAAUUGCUUUUAUAUAAAUAUUCUAUUAAAAAAAUAAUUUCAAAGGCCACAUUAAAUUUUUUGAUUUAAGCCUCUUAAUCUGUUGGGUCGGCCAUGGCAGGAGAUCCAACUAUUUGUAUAAACUACAGUCGUUGAAAUGUAACUAUUGUGAGAGUGUUGCUUGUUUUCAUUAUAUAUAGUAGUUAUAUAUUCAAAUGAAAUGAAUGAUCAAAUUAACACUAAAAUUUAGUUAAAAUCAUUUCAAAUAUCAAUAUAUUAUUGUCAAGAUUAAAUUAUGUAAUUUUAUAUGAUUUCAACCUAAUGGUAAAGAGUGGUUAUAAUAUAUCCAGAUUAAUUGUAAAUAGACUCGUAUUCAAUAAUUAUAGUAAUUAAGAUCAACUUUUUAAUCAGCCCAAUAAAAUGUGUGGUCUACAACUAUAAGAUUCACACAAUAUUAUAGUAAAAUAGACUUAACAAUCAAGUGAUUAAAUAUAUCCAGUUACAUUAGAAUUGAUCUAUGACAAAAACAAUUUUUAGUCGAACUUUACUUUCAUUUUGAGGGAACCAACUUAUAUAAAUUAUGAUGGUUGUAUUGUAGGUGGCAAAACCGACUAUGUGCUACACAAAUUAGAAGCAAUGGAUGAAGCAAACUUGGGAUACAACUAUAGCAUUGUAGGAGGAACAGGGUUGGAUGAAAGUUUAGAAAAAGUUGAAUUCGAGACAAGUAUUGUGGCUGGCUCUGAUGGUGGAUCCAUUGUUAAGAUUUCAGUGAAAUACCACACCAAAGGUGAUGCAACUCUAUCUGAUGCAGUGCGUGAUGAAACUAAGACCAAAGGAACUGGACUUAUCAAGGCCAUUGAGGGAUACGUUUUGGCAAACCCUAAUUAUUAAGUAAAAUGUAUACUUGGUUGUGUUGUGUCAUACCAAUAAUAAUUGAAGUUUAUGAUAUGGUUGUUUGAUUUAUACAUCACGAUUUCUAGCUUAUACAUGUGUGUGGGCUUUGUUGUUUAAUUACAAAAAUCUAUGUGUUGAUGUUGAGGUUUUGUACCAUCUAUAAUUCUGUAAUAAAUAAUGAAGAAUUUUCUAGCACUUUUCAUUCGGUAUUUUAACUUUAUAUGCCUUGACCAUUAUUGGUACACCAAUUUCCUUUCCUCUUGUUAUCCUUUUUUUUUCUUUCUUUGGAUUUAUUUUUGACUUGUAACACAUAAAAACUCAACUCAUCACUAGCAUGCUUUGAAUUUUACUAUGGCUGAGAAAAAGUAAAAACAUAAUGUGAGUAUGAUAGAGAAAGUUGUCAUAUAAUGGUUAUAUAAAUAUUAUUUCUCUAUCAUAAAUGUAAAGUGGAAGAUAUUGAAUUGAGAGUGAUGAAAUUUGUAUGGGUCUUGUUAACGAGUGCCCCCGAGGGCACUCUUUAAGCAUACUAAAUUAGAAAAUUAUUCUUUAAAAAAUUCAAAUAAUUCAAUUUCCAAUGCAUUGAAUACAUAACUUUUCAUAAAAAGUUACUAUUUAAGACCCUUAAAGAGUGUCCCCAGGGCACUAGUUAACAUUUCUGAAUUAUAGUAUUAAUUAAGAUGUAUAAUUGAAAAAAGAUAGUUAAUUAAUAUUAUAUUAAAAAGUGAAAUUGAUCAUUCAUUUUAGAUCUUUCUUCUUUUUUACAAAUAAAUUACUUAUUGUGGAACAUGAGGAGUAUCAUUUAUGCUCAAACUAAUCAUGCAAACUCUAAUAUAUAUAAACAAUUAUAAAUCAAAUAGACUUCAAUUUGAUAUUCCUUGCACUCGAAUAAUUUGGUAAGAGACAAAUUAAAUAAAGGAAUUUAAGUUUUUAUAAAUAAUCAACAUGUUAUAAGAUACAAUUGUUUGAAAAAGAAGAAUGGUGGUUUGCGGGUUAGGGUCUCUUAGUUAAUCAUCUAUUUCUGUUUCAUGUUUUUUUUUUUAAUAAUUUAUUUCUGUUUCAUGUUAUUUACCAACUUUAUAUUAGUUUUUUUGUAACUUUUUUAGUACAACUUGUGCUGAAAAGAUUUUGGUUAAUGAUAUUCUAUUUUGACAUGCUAAAAAAAAUGAUGAAUGUGAACCCGUUAAAUAAGUAAACGAUAUAGUACAUAGGUUGCAUAUUUUUAAACUUUGCCGUCUUUGAAUUGAAUUCUUGAUGCUUUUGUCCAAGUCAAAUUUCGAUUUUUAAUUCCUUUGCCCAUCUCUUCAUCGGCCAAAACUUCUGAGCUAAUAAGUCAUUGAUCUAUAUCUAUAUAUCUAUCUAAAGAAAAGUCAUUGAGUUGAAAAUAUCAUUUUGAAGAUAUGCUCUACAAUUUAUGGUUUUGAAAAAUAAUACACGCUCUCUAAUAUGGACAGCUUUGUUUUACACACUUAUUAAUCCUACUUAUUAAAGGUGCUACUAGCUAGUAACAGAUGGGAAACUUUUUGUUUCAAGUUUACCAAAUUUAUUUUUGGUGAUAACAUUUCUUGGAACAUAAAGAUGAGAAUUUUAUUCUAAAAUAUUUAGAAAAAAGAUGUUUGCUUAACAUUAUAGUAUUCUCAGAAACCAUAAAAAUAAGGAUUAUAAUAGAUAAUUACACAUGAAUCUAUUCCCAUGUUCAUGGGAACUUUAUUCCCACUAGUUUCUGUGAGAAAUUUUUUCCAUUCCCAUAAACAUUUUAUACCUGCGAAUAAAAUUUAAUAAAUUUGUAACAAACAUAGACAUGCAUAUGUCUAUUGUUUUAUUCCCAAAAAUCUACAUAGAUAACUUGAAAUAAACGUACCCUUAAAUUUAAUUAUUUACUGAAAAGAAAAAUGUGAUAAGGAAUCUGUUUCUACACCUCCAGGAAACACUAUCUCUUUUUCUUUUACGGAUCAAAGCUACAUUAUUUAGUUCCGUAAAUACAAUUUGAAUGGUAAAAAAUUUAAAGAUAUUUGAUUAAUUGGAGUGCGAGUUUGAAUAUAUAAUUCUUCACUUUAAAUGUUUUAAAGUAGAAUUGAUUUUUUUUGUAAAAUUAAUUCUACUCAAAGCUAAAUGUCGAGGCACGAAUAUUGUUCAAUUCACUUUUACUUAAAUAUAAUAAAACAUAUAUUAUUUUACAUUUAAUCAGAAUUAACUGUACAAAAUUAAUUCAUUUAGAAUCAAAUUUUUGUUGUGUAGCAUAAACAAACACACACUAAAUUACGUAGUUUGAUUUCUUUAUUAAAAAAAAGAAAGAGUAAAAUGAUUUCAUAUUUUGUCUUCAUUCCCAUUAGUUUGUUAUUGUCUUUGUAAUAAAAAAAUUAAAAAAAAUAUUUUUUUUCACUACGUAAAAACUUCACGUAGAUCUUUUUAUCAUUAAUUAAUUCGUGCGUGGUUAUGUACGACUGAGUCUCCUUAUUUUAGGAUAACGACUUCAAAUCUUUCAUACAUCAAUCUUCACCAAACUUUAACGGUGUGUUUGGAUGUAAGAUGAAAAUGAAAAGUGAUAAACAGAUGAGAAAGAGUGUGAGAAGAGAGAAAGCGAUAAGCAAUACAAUAGAUUUGUAGCAUUGAUUAGUAUAAAAAUGAGAAGAGAAAUAUAAAAAAAAAAAACAGAUAUUUUAUUCUUUGAAAAAGACAAAAACAACCUCCAUUAAAAAUAAAAUAGUAAAAUAUCGCUACUAUAUUAUGCUAUCUAAAGUUUGUCAUAAAAAUUAUCCUAUAUUAUAAUUUAUUAGUAUAAUAAUAAAUCUCAUGAAAUAAAGUGAAAAAUUAUUUACUUUUUCAUUGUGCUGUAAAAAAGUACUCCAUGUUAAUCAAUGUAUAAAGCAUUUAAAAGAAAGGGGCAUAAUUGGAAAUAUGCAAUAAAUAGGUUGCUCUAUUGGACUUUCAGGAUUGAAAAAACUGUCGGUACCAAAAAUUAAUUCGAACUUGAAUUAUUUCUUUUAACGCAACUUUAGAUGGCUCCUUGUGACUUUAAUUAAUAAUAUCAAACAUUUAUCUUGUAAAACAAGGUAGGACCUACCAAUAUGUCACUUAGUCAUGGAUUUCUAGACUAAUUCACAUUUUUAGAAUCGAAUUCAAGAUUGUCGACAUCACAAAGAGAAUUGACCCAAUAAAUAAAUAUCAAAAUACUUGAGCUAAAUAAAUAAGUGAGAUUUUGCAAACAAGGUAGGUCCUACCAAAGUUCUAUAAAUAGUAACCCUCAAUGUGUUAUAAACCGCAUCACAAACUAAAAUAGUAGCAUUAUUCAUAUUAUACAUUAAUUUCUCCUUUCAUUUACUUAUUGCAUAUUGAUCCUUUUUAUCUUGAUAUAUAUCAUGGGUUCUUUUGUUUUCAUUGAUGAACAUGUCUCAACUGUGGCUCCAGCUAAACUUUACAAAGCACUUGCAAAAGAUGCUGAUGAAAUCAUCCCAAAGGUGAUUCCAGCUGCUCAGAGUGUUGAAAUUGUUGAAGGAAAUGGAGGACCUGGCACCAUUAAGAAGUUAUCCAUGUCUGAAGGUAAUUGAUUAAGAUUAUAUAACAUUUACACAGUUGAAUUUUUGGGACUAGAGUUGAUUGUUGGUAUAUUGAAAUGAGAUUCAACAAUCAAGUAAUUAACGAUAUCCAGUUACGUUCAGAUUGAUCAAUGACUUAAACAAUUUUUAGUCAAACUUUAUUUAAAUUUGAGGGAACAAAACUUAUAUAAAUUAUGAUGGUUUAAUUGUAGGUGGUAAAACCGACUUUGUGCUACACAAAUUAGAAGCAAUGGAUGAGGCAAACUUGGGAUACAACUAUAGCAUAGUAGGAGGAACAGGAUUGGAUGAAAGUUUAGAGAAAGUUGAAUUUGAGACAAAUAUUGUGGCUGGAUCUGAUGGUGGAUCCAUUGUUAAGAUUUCAGUGAAAUAUCACACCAAAGGUGAUGCAGUUCUAUCUGAAGCUGUACGUGAGGAAACUAAGGCCAAAGGAACUGGACUUAUCAAGGCCAUUGAGGGUUAUGUUUUGGCAAACCCUAAUUACUAGCAAAUUAAACAUUUGCUUUAAUAAUAAUUAAAGACUAUGAUAUGGUUGAAUGUGUGUUGGAUAUUUUGAGGUUUGAGUGUUGUUUUGAGUGUUUAAAAACAAAAACCAAUGUUGUGUUGGUGAUGAGGUUUUGCACCAUCUGUAUUAUGUAAUAAAUAAUGCAAAAGAAUUUUCUAGCACUUUCCGUUAUUUUUUUAGAGGAAUAGCACUUUACAUCAUUUUAAUUUAAUUUAGGAUAACAUCAAACUAAUAGUGCAUGUGGUUUUCAAUUGGUUGAAUUUUAAACUAACACUGUCUACGGUUCGAUUAUUUAAACAGUUUGGUUGAGUUUUGUCUUGAAUUGAUUUGAGCAAAUUAAAGCAAUUGAAUCAUGUUUUGAAAGUCUCAUCAUCUUGUCCAAUAUGAUUUUUAAAACAAAACCUACUGGUUUGAUAAACCGUUAAAAGGGAAUUAGAAUACAUCGAAACAACACAAAUUUUUAUGAUACUAAAAUUAAAGAAGAUAAAAUUGUGAAUACCUAUAAAAGUCUCACAACACCCUAAUUUCUUUUUUCUUUUUUAAAACACAUGUAAGUUAAUAACAUAAAAGGAUAAAAAUACCUAUAAAUACGACAAAUAAAGCAACUAAAAUACUAUAUGCAGAGCCUACCCAACAUUUUGGUAGGCCUAAAGUGAAUUUUUUAUUGAUGCUUUUUAAAGUAAAAUAUUAAACUUUGUUGAACCCAAGGUUUGAACCAAAGAUGCAGAGGAUUUGAGACCUCUUCUUGACGAACUAAAGUUAUGCAAGCAUUUAUAAUUAUUUUAUCAUAUUAUGUAUUUAUAUCUAAAGUUGAUAUGGUCAUUGCGUAUCCACGAGGAUUUGAGGCCUCUUUGUUGCUGCCUACCCACGAGGUUUAAUUUGCAAAAUCAUGGAGUCCAUUGUCUGUCACUUGUGUGGUUUGUAAUAAUGAUUUGAAAGAUCAAAUGCACAUGUUUAUGCACUGUAAUUUUGCUACUGAUUGUUGGAAAGAAGUAAAUCUUUGGGCAAGAUAAAGUCAUACAUAACGUCAAAUGAUAGUUUUUCAUCCAUUAUCUUUGAUAUUCUUGUAGCUAUUUAUUGAGUGUUUGGCAUGCACGUAAUGCUUGUUUAUGGGAGGAAAAACUUGUCGAUGCACAUACAUCUUGCGUCCUGGAAUUAGAUACAGUUCGAGAUUACGUGUGGUGUCAUCGUCUCAACGAUGUUGUGCAGUCUGCUACUCCAACUUAGUCCAAACUGCAGGCAGAUUGGAUCAAGUCUUACAUCGAUUGUGUUCUUUUUGAAGCUGAUGGAAAAUUUAGUGUUGGUAUCUGUUUUCGAGACCGCCUUAUCCAAGAACUAUUCCAUCCUAUAGCAAGAAGCUUAGAUAUUAUCUUAUAAAGCACAUUACAUAAUGAAAUUACCCUCCAUUCCUUCAUACUAGUUGGUUUUGUCACAUUUAGGAAUAAGGCAAAUAUUAUUAUCAUUCAAUUAAUGUGCUCGGAAAAUAACCUAUAUAUAACCACAUAUUCACAACUUCAAAAAUUUCAUCACUACAAAGAUUCCAAAACCUUGAAAAAAAAAACCCGGAUUAAAACCAUGAAGACUCGAUGACUUAUUUGAAUGCAUUUGAAAUAACGUAAGUUUCAGCUCCUCUUUAGUAAACGGUGCUAAAAUAAGGUUGUUGUUUGCAUCGGUUAUCUUUGGUUGAAGGUGACAACUAGGCUACCCAUGAAAGAAUGAUGGGUAAUUUACCCUAACCAAUACACAUUAGCCACAUAAGCACAUAUUCAUGAACUAUCUUGACCCCACAAAUAAAUUGUUCAUUUUCAUUGGUUGGUAGGUAAAUUACCCACCAUUCUUCAAAAGUAAUUUAAAAAGAACCUUGAUGGAAUCAUACCAAUCAUUAAAAUUUUCAAUAUCACAAUCAUUUACCGCCUCCUUAAACCCAAGAUAAAUCCAAUUAGGAUGGGAAUGUUGGCCUCGAAUAUUCUCUUGAGAUAAAAUAUCAUUAAAAUUUCUUAUGAUACACCAAGGCAUAUGAGACAUGUCCCUCAACUCUCUGAGACAUGUCCCUCAACUCUCUGAGCAUAUUCCAAGAAUCUCUUCUUCGACCUCCUUUUGGGUAACCAUAAAAAUCAGUUAACAUUGAUUCUCUUUUUAUUGUAUCUUCCACAAUUAAAUUGAUAUUGUUUAUAGAGUAAUUAAGAAUUUUACACAAGCUAUUAACUUUUCAUAUCACUGCUAUCUAGGGGUGGGAUUAGGUCGAGUCGGGCCAAACUUUACUUAAAUAGGUCAGAUCUAAUUUAAAAAGUUAAAGCCUAGGCGACCUAUUAGCUUGUCAAAGACUUUAUUUUAAGUCUAAGCUUUUUAAAAGUCUAGCCUAAUAUUGUCAAAAAGCCUAGUUUAUGCUAAGAAUUUUAAAUAGAAUAUCUGUUCUAUUUAUAAAAAGGCUAAUAAACAUAUAUUUCUUAGAAGAUUAAUAUGCCAAUAAAAUUUUGUAGAGCUUGUAUAUCAAUUUUGUUUCACUCUGUAAGCAUAUAUUGCAUGUAAAUCGAAUAUAAUUUGGUAAGGCCUCUACAUCAAUUGUAUAGAGGCUAUUAGCCAUAUAUGGGCCGAAAAUUUAUUAAUACAAUGGAGGAGUAUAUAUAUAUAUAUAUAUAUAUAUAUAUAUAUAUAUAUAUGAGGAGGGAUAUUUUGACUUCAAGAGUAAGUUUAUAGACUUAUUCCAAAUCUCCACCUUUCAUCUUAUUUUAAUCUAAUAGUUUAAAUGUGAGUUUUAAUUGUUAAUCAUGUGACCAUUUUUUUGGAUCUCAUUCUUAUAAAUAUUUUCUCCAUUUAAUCUCCCUUAUUAAUUAAUGUAAUAAAUACCUCCCCAAUUUUAUUUUAUUUUUUGGCGCACCUUUGCCAAUUCAAAAAGUGUUUUUUAAUCUUUUUCUCCAACAUUAGAGCAAGGUUGCAGUUUGAAAUAUAAAUUAAAAUGUAAGCUUUCCACUCUCACCUCUUGAACCUAUGGAUGAGAAGAUUUUUUUUAUUGAAAUGUAAAUCAAAAAGGAAAGAAAUGAGAUUGAGAGCCAUCAUGUAGAAUUGAGGUUGGAGUGAAACGGAGAGCCAUCACUCUAUAUCCUAUUGUGAUUUAUAUGAUUAUCCAAUCAAAGAAAUUGGGUGUAUACAAAAUCAAUUGGGUGAGUUAGGGUACAAAGCAUUAGGAGGAAAUUUUGUUGUUUUCUGAGAGUUAAAAUAAAUAAAAAAGUAAUUAAGGGAUAAAUGAAAUUUGUUUUAUGAGAAUAAAAUAAAAAAACUUAAAAGUGUGUUUAUGAGAGAAAGGAAAUUUGAUUUAUGAGAAUUAAUUAAGGGAGAAUAAUUGGAGAAGGUAUUUAGAUCCACAAAGAUGGUCAUAUGAUUAACAAUUAAAACCCACAUUUAAGCCAUUAGAUUAAAAUAAGAUGAAAGGUGGAGAUUUGGAGUAAGUCUAUAAACUUACUCUUGGAGUCAAAAUAUCCUCUCUCUCUCUCUCUCUCUCUCUCUCUCUCUCUCUCUCUCUCUCUCUCUCUCUCUCUCUGUAUAUAUAUAUAUAUAUGAGAUAUGAGAUAGAAUCCGUUGACACUUUAUAUUGACACCAAAUCAUAUCCCUUGAUUUCAUUUGAUCCAAUAGCUCCUAUUAAUUCACUUAACCUUGUACCUAUGUGUGAUGCACUGAACCACACCGUCGUCUUCAUUCUCACGUUAUACGUACGCCGUCUGCUAUCUGCAGUUUUCGUUCAUCUCUUCUCCCCUUGCACACCUUCACAAAUGCUUCAUCUAUAUUAUGUGUUGCUCCUAUCGAAAUUAAAACCCACUAUUCAAUUAGUGGUGGAUAUGAGUUAAAACCUUGUACGCUAAUUCUUCAAAUGGAUCCUCUAAGAUUAAUUCCUCAAAUUUUUUGAUUAGAUUUAUGAAAUCAAUAAUAAUUGGAUGACGUUAGAAAACCGAUGGACAUUAUUUAUUGAUUUGCUUCAAUUUGUGCAAUUUUAGGUGAGAAAAAGAAAUUGCAUAUCAGAAUGCAUAAUAUAAAAUAAAAAAUUGUGGGUUUGGUAAAAUGAAAAACUAUGUAAAUUAAAAUGAAAACCAAGAGUUGUUUCCUUUGUUUGGGUAUGGACAAGGAAGUAGCCAAGAUACAAGAGACAACAUUUUUCCAUUGUUGUUCCUGUAUACUUUGUUCAGCAAGAUUGAAAAGGAACAAAAAGAAAAUAAGAGUGCACAUUACAGUGAAAAAGGCCUAUGUUAGUUGAUUUAGUAAAUAAUUAUAAGCCUGUUACAGUGAAAAAGGCCUAUGUAAGUUGAUUUACUUUUUUUAUUCUGAUCUAUUUAAAUUAAUGGUUUUUUUAAAAAGCUUGAAUCUGACUUAUUUACUAAACAAGCUAAACCGGUCUGGGUUUUAAGUAAGUCGAGUUAUAAGCCCCUAACAAACGGUCUGGCUUAUUUUAGGAUUUAGGGUUUACCCAAAUGAUCCCUCCACUUCUCCCUUCAACAUAUAUAGCACAACAAGAAUCAAAACCAAACCUAACUCGUAAGAAUUCUAUAGUCAUUGCUUUUGCCAACGUCUCGUACAAAUAAAGAAUAUCAAGAUUUUAUUUUUGGUUAAUAAAAAGUAGUAAUGCUAAAGGAAGAGACAACCCCAAAAAAAUUAGCUCUAAUAUUUAAUGUAAUACUACUAUGCAUGUAGUAGGAAUAAAUGGGAAACGUAUGCUCUUUUUUUUUUUUUUUGUUACCUGGGAAACGUAUGUUUGAUUGUUUAUUGAAUAGUAGAAAAUUGUUGUAAAGGAAUUCUUUUUUCGACGUUAUAAAGGACUCUCUUUAUGCAUCUCCAAUAAACACUAUCUAUACUUUGUAAAAAGAAUACAAAAAUAAAUGUGAGCAUUGAUAGGGAUAUGAUAGCAUCUAGGAAUCGGGUUCCACCUUAGUUUCUUCUCCUUUAUCCAUUACUAACAUAUGAUUUAUGGUCAAUUUUCAACCUCAAAGAGCAUUCCUUUAAUAAAUAGUUUCCCGUUUUUUUUUUUAUUAUUUAAAUAAUCGAUUUUCACAUCUAUUUAGUUUAUUUCUCUAAUUUUUUCAUCAUCUUAGUGCGACGUUAUUUUGUUUGUCGUCUUUGUGUGACAUUGUUUAUCUUUAUUGUCUUGUUUAGAUGUUUGUUUCAUUCAUAUUGUCAUAUCAAGUUUGAUGCAGUGCAUGUUCAAUCAAUGAUUUAAAAAUUGUCAACGUUGUUGUGAGUUUGUUCGUGGAUUCAUCAAUUUUGUUUUUAGCAAAUUCAUAUUGUAUCGGUGUACUCUAUCAAUUUGAAUGAAUAAUAUCAUUUAUUACUAAAAAAAAGUACCGGGUACAAACUUUAAAUUUUCCGUUUAGUUAUCUUAAAGUGAAUUUUUAGCCACUAAAUUAUUUUAUUAAAAAAAAUCACUAUAUAUAAUGAUUAAAAUUAUAAGCGUAAUUUCAGGAGUGAACAUAGACCUUUAUUCAAAAGGGAAUGAACAUAGACGUAUAAUUAAAGGAGAACGAUAUUUCAUUGUCAUUAAUUUGUUUAUUGUCACUACGUGAAUAUUUUCUAAUUAUUUCGUGGGUGACUGCGACUGAGUCUAUUCAACAAAAAACAAAAAUCUACCGACUAAGUCUUCUUAUAAUUCCAAGACAUCGACUUUGAAUUUUUGAUACAACAAUGACCCAAUCUCACCCAAUCUUAAGAGUACUAUCAUAAUUCAUACAAAAUAGGUCAUAUUUUUCGGUCCUUAAAUAGGUCAUAUUAUAUUUUUCGGUCCUUAAAAAAAAUUGAUAUUUGAUUUUUUAAAAUUAAAUUAACAAGGGUAAAAUUGAGAUAAAAAGUGAUAAACUGUAAGUUAUAAGAUAUUUGAAGCAGCUUAAGAAAAAUGGUAUAAGCUCGAAAAAGAAAGUUAUAACUCGUGAGAAAACUUGUUUGCUAAAAAAAUAAAAAAUAAACUCGUGAGAAAAAAAAUUGUUAACAGACAUGUUUUAUCUUAGUCAUAUGAGAUCAUAAAUUAUAAAUUAUUUGUUAUAAGUGACAUUAACCCAAGAACAAUUUCGUAAUAGUGUAUAUAAAAUAAAAUCAUUAAUUAAUAUGGUAAUUCAGAAUAUUUUGAUUGAUUUUGGAUGUAAAACUGUUUUGGACCGUUAAUCUACCACUAUUAAACUCUUAAUACAUUACCAAUUUUUGUUAAUAUGCAAUUGCAUAAUAAAUUAUUUGUGAUUAAGAUAUCAACUGUUAAUUUCUCAAUUUACUGAUUACACGCUUUAGAAGAAUAAGUAAAUUAGCAUUUUAGUUCUCGGAAUAAUAAAGGACAAAUUAUUUAUUCACUAAAAUUUGUGAAAUAAUAAUUAAUCAAUUAAAUAAAAUAAUACUAUCAAUUAAUUCAGUUCCUCAUAUCUUAUGAAAAAUAAAUCAUCAACAUUUAUAAAAGAUUUGCAUGUUGACUUUUUUAAUUUGUAAAGUUCUAACAUAAAUAACGUGGUAAUUUGAAGUUCGAUAUAAUGUUAAGUGAAGUAUGAUAAAUGAUUGUUUUAAGUCAUGAUUCGAACUCAGUUUUUUUCGAACAAUUUAUCUUAAACAAAAGUUAAGUGAGCACUUCAGCUCAACCGCUCGACUGAAUUAUAUAUUAAUUUAUGUUUUUUAUACAAAAAUAAACGAUAUUCAUUCAUUUAAAUUGAUAUAGUACAUCGAUACAAUACGAAUUUAAAAUUGCUAAAAACAAAAAAGGAUGAAUCUACGAACAAACUCAGAGUAUCCAUGUUAAUAGCAUAAAACGGUAGAGUAUAUAUGCCUACAAAUAUACCUAUCAAGCCACUGAAAUACUCAUGUUUCGGAUCUGCAACGUUGACAAUGCAAAAGUCAUUGAUUGAAUCUGCAUUUGAUCAAAGCUAAUCUUUCAACCUGAAUCAAAUAAAAACCGCAUUAAGACAUGAAUAAAAAACACACCGCACAAAGACGAGAAAUCAAAAUAAAUAAAGUUGUGCUAGAUGACGAAUUCACAAAACCAACAAAAGAAAGGUGAAAAUAUGUGAAAAAUUACUUAUUUAACUAAAAGAGAAAGAGAAACAAUUCAUAGGGGUGAUUUCGUGUCAAAAUUGAUAGUAAGUCACACCUUUUUGGUAGAUGAAGAAGAAAAAAAGUCGUGUGACUAGGGUUUAGGAAAGGAAAAGUGAGAGAAUUUCUACCUUAUAUAAUUGAUUUUUUUAUGUUUUAAAACCAAGACAUUUUCUACACGCGACUACGACAACUAAUCUCUCAAUGUAAACGAAAUUCAUCGUAGAAGUUGUCAUCUCUCAAUAUAUAUUAUCUAUACACAAUGAUCAACAGAUUAAAAUAAUGACCACAUAGCCGAGAGACUCAAAUAAAUAUUCAUCAAUUUUGUUACACCAUAUUGGUAUAUAACUUUCAACUAUGUGGUGUUAAAGUCUGAAAACACGACUAAUUAACUAAUACACUUUAAAGUACUAAAGUAUUACUAUUUAACGAAUUUUAGGACCCACCAUGACACCAUUGCAAUAAUUUCAAUUGGAAAAAUAUUUAGCACCGUUUGGUCAGACUUUUUUCGGUCUAAAAAUUAUUUUAAAACAAAGUUAAAAUAAAACUCUUUAAGGAAAAAGUUAAAGUUGUUUGGUUUCUUUAUUUUUUUUAGUUUUUUUUUGAACAAGCCAAAAUGGAAUUAUAUAAACAAAAAGGCAGUCCCAAACGCACAAGGUGUGCCCUAGCGACUACCUCCAAAACCAAGAGUUACAAGAAUUACAACCAAGCCACAACAGAAAGACAUUAGCCAAUACCCAAACAAACAAGAGGGUUUGACCACCACUGCUGAGUUCCAAAAACAAAGGUAGCUUUUUUAACUUUAAGUCAACCUAAAGACAACAUCUUAAUCUUAUCUAAUAAACAAGGGAUGGGGGUAACAACAUGAUUAAACAGACGGUUAUUUCGUUCAUUCCACACAACCCAGGCACAAAGAAGCCAAAUAAGUUGCAUAAAAGAACGUCUAGCAACACCACCACCUGUCAAAUGAGUAAACUGUAAAAAAUGAUCGGAAAUAUUAUAUGUGUCCACCCCAUAGCAACCAAUCCAAUCACGCACCAGAUGCCACAGAGAGCCAAAAGUAUUACACAAUAAAAAGAGAUGUUGCACCGAUUCAGGAUGACCACAACCAGUAACACACGAGGACAUGUCAUGCGACAACACCCGUCUAGCAAUCAAAUUAGUCCUUGUUGGUAAACGAUCUCGGAUGAGCCUCCACACGAAAACGAACACCUUCAAGGGAACCUGUUUGUGCCACACCAAAUCCAAAGCAUAGUCCGCUACCUGAGGAACCUGAGAAGUCAACAAACUAUAUGCACCAUGAACAGUGUAACCACCAGAUGGGUCCGGAAGCCACACCCAGCUAUCUGAAACAUUAGGAUCCAAAGAAACAUCAAGAAUUAAAGCCCUGCACUCCUCUAGCAAGUCCUCAUCCCACUGCCAUAACCUACGUCUCCACCUCCACACAUCCCCCCACUGCUCCGAAUCAACAGAAAGCAAGUCCGCCACGAAUAUAGACUUAUUCUCUGUUAACUCAAACAACCGACUAAACCUCACACGAAGAGGAGCCUCCCCUAUCCACCUAUCGAACCAAAAUGAUGUAUCUGCCCCAUCACCAACUCUCCUCAACACCUGAUCCUCAAACCAGCCGCUACCACCAACACCAACCCUACCCCUAAGACGACUCACCUCCGACCACCAACAAGAAACUCUCCGGCCCCCAACCUGCCACCUAAUUCGCCAUAUCUGGCAACUAAAACCCUAUACCACAAAUCACCUCUAUCAACCAACAACCUCCAACACCAUUUCCCUAACAAUGCUAUAUUAAACUCCUUCAAUCUCCUCACCCCCAAACCGCCACACUCCUUUUUUAAACAAACAGUUUGCCAACUUAACCAAGAUAUUUUCCUAUUAUCCUCACUCCCCCCACUGCUCCGAAUCAACAGAAAGCAAGUCCGCCACGAAUAUAGACUUAUUCUCUGUUAACUCAAACAACCGACUAAACCUCACACGAAGAGGAGCCUCCCCUAUCCACCUAUCGAACCAAAAUGAUGUAUCUGCCCCAUCACCAACUCUCCUCAACACCUGAUCCUCAAACCAGCCGCUACCACCAACACCAACCCUACCCCUAAGACGACUCACCUCCGACCACCAACAAGAAACUCUCCGGCCCCCAACCUGCCACCUAAUUCGCCAUAUCUGGCAACUAAAACCCUAUACCACAAAUCACCUCUAUCAACCAACAACCUCCAACACCAUUUCCCUAACAAUGCUAUAUUAAACUCCUUCAAUCUCCUCACCCCCAAACCGCCACACUCCUUUUUUAAACAAACAGUUUGCCAACUUAACCAAGAUAUUUUCCUAUUAUCCUCACUCCCCCCCCCCCCCCAAAAAAAAAAAAAAUUAAUAAACAAAGAUUCAAUAGAGGAGAUUAUACCUGAUGGAGCUUUGAAGAAGGAAAGUGCAUAGACAGGCAAAGAGGUCAGGACAGAUUUGAGAAGAACCAAGCGACCACCAAAAGAUAGAAACCGACUAUUCCAACCUGACAGUCUAGAUUUAAUACGAUUCACAAUAGGUUCCCAGAAACACAAUCUUCGAGGAUUACCACCAAUAGGCAUACCCAGAUACAAGAAAGGAACGUUACCUACUUUACAACUCAACACGGAAGCAGCCUCAUGUAACCAAGACGACGCAAUAUUCACCCCAACAAGCAUACUCUUAUGAAAAUUCACUUUCAACCCCGACAUAGCCUCGAACAACACAAGGGCCGCCCUUAAAGCACGAACAUUAGCCCAACUUUUAGUUCCUAACAACAAAGUGUCAUCAGCAAAUUGGAGGUGAGAUACAACAACCGGAUUAACCACCCCAAUGCUAUAGCCAGAGAACAGUUGAGCCUCAACCAAAGAUUUCAUCACAACAUUAAGACCCUCCGCGGCCAACAAAAACAAAAAAGGAGACAAAGGGUCACCUUGUCUUAACCCUCUCAUCAACGGGAAUUCAUCAGUUGGACUUCCAUUAACUAAGACAGACGCUGUGGCAGUGCUAACACACUCUUUGAUCCAAUUCCUCCAACGGGAAUUCAUCAGUUGGAAUUCAUCUUUAAAAGUUGUUUGACAAAAUAUUGUAUACCAAAUUUUGUUAUAAGAAUAUCAUAUUUUUGGUGUCAUUUAAAAAGAUAAGAAUUUAUAUUAUAUGAUAUUAUAUUUGUUACAUUGUUGGUGUCAUUGAAAAAGAUAUGUUUAGUUUUUUAAUAAGAAAAAGAUAUGCAUAGUUUGUUACAACAUAAAUGUGUAAAGUAUAUAUAAGUAUAAUUUUUUAGGUAUCUAUACUAGUACUUUUAAUUAAAAUCAAAAUUUUAUAAAAAUAAUAAUUGUACGCAUUGCGCAACACUGAAAAAAUUAUACCCAUUAGCAUAACAAAAAAAAACAGACAUACAGACAUAAAAUAUUACUCUAAACGCUAAUGUGUGUGUGUAUAUUUGUGAGGUUGAAAAAAGGGAAUAAAAAUAUUUGGUGUCAUUCAAUGACAGCAUGAAUAAAAAUAUUUGUGAGGUUGUGAUAAUUAAACGAUAUUAAAAUUAAAUAUAUAAGUGAUAAAAAGAUAAUAAAACUCCUUCAAAAAUAGAUAAUUAAAUUGAUCCUCCUUUAAAAAAAAAUUAUAUGGACCGGUUCAAAAAAAAUUAAAUUGAAGAAAAAACAAAUUGAAAUAUAAUAUUAAAAAAUAAAAUAUAAGGUUGCUGCGUGAGUUGAAGAGGAGUGCUUGUGAAAUAAAUUACAAAGAAGUAGUUUUUUGAAGUAGCAUUCAACAACUUUUGGUUAAAGCUCAUUCCAUUCAAAUUUUAUGCAUUCUAAAAAAAGUACUUUUUUUCGAAGGUAUUUUAUUGAUAUUGUGUUUGGCGUAGCUUCUCCUUAAAAAUGUAGAAAAGUUGAAGAAAAAAAAAAAGUCGGGUCAAACAGUACUUUAAUAUACUCAAUUAAAGUUACUAAUGUACUGGCAAGUAACUUUUAGAGGAAGAUUUUCUUUUUUUAAGGAUUUUAGAGGAAGCUUAGCAACACACUUUUAAUAUACAUUUUUCUAGAAUUUUUUUUUAUUGAUUAAAAUUCAUAUAUAUCCUCAUAAAUCAUGUGGAUUUCAUAUAAUAUAAUAGAAGACACAAAUUUUAACCGACAAAUAGAGUGUAAAAAAUAGAGAAAUGAUAUUUGUACAACCACUUUGUGAUAAUUUUUGGACAAUUUUCUCUCUCAUACUCAUAUUAUAUUCUUACUCUCUUCUUUUUUCUCUCUCCAUUAUUUUUGACCAAUGAAAAGAGAGAAAAGAAAGAUUGUCAAAUAGGUUGUACCAAAUGGUUGUUCAAAUAGGUUGUACCAAAUGGUUGUUCAAAUAUCAUUUCUUUAAAAAAUAUAAGCAUUAAAGAGUUUGUUGUUAACAUUAUUUUAAUUUUUUUUAUGUAAUCCACACUUUGAGUCAUGGAGUGCUUUACUAAUUCAUUUUGUUUUUCGCAACCCAAUUCAAGAUUGUCUAGAAACAAAGAGGACUGACCUAAUAAAUAAAUAUUAAAAUAAGCUACUUGAGCUAAACAAUGAGAUUUCCAAACAAGGUAGGUCCUACUCAAGUUCUAUAAAUAGCAUCCCUCACCAUGUCAUAAACCGCAUCACAAGUUAUAUACUAGUUGUAUUUUUAUUAUAUACUUCUCCUUUCAUUUUCUUCUUGCAUAUUAAUCUUCUUUAUCUUAAUAUAUAUCAUGGGUGUUUUUACUUUCAAUGAUGAACAUGUCUCAACCGUGGCUCCAGCUAAACUAUACAAAGCUCUUGCAAAAGAUGCUGAUGAAAUCGUCCCAAAGGUGAUUUCUGCUGCCCAAAGUGUUGAAAUUGUUGAAGGAAAUGGAGGACCAGGAACCAUUAAGAAGUUAUCCAUUGUUGAAGGUAAUUAAGAGCAUAUACGACGUACAAAUAUAUAAUACUUAAGAUCAAAUGAUACAUAGUGUUCACGUAAAAUUGUUUUACACCGACAACCAAUCAAAUUUAUCAGUACAACAAAGAAUUGUGUAACUACCUUUUAUUUAAAAAUUGAUAAAUAUGAUGUGACAAAUUGAAGAGUUGUGAUUGAUUAAAUGAUUCACAAAUAACUAAGUUAAAUUCAUUAUACCAAAUAAAAGUAAGUUAAAUUCAUUAUACCCAAAAAAAAAAAGUAAGUUAAAUUCAAGUGUAUCAAAAAAAGUCAUUCAAAUCUAUUUGGAUAGUUAUGGUAGUAGCCAUUUAUGUUAUACUUUUAUUUUUAAAAUAGAAUCUUGAGAAAUGAAGGAGACAAUACAUAAGCUCGUUCCAGGAGUAUGUCUAACAAUUAUGGACCUUCAAAAACAUGAUUCAUGUGAUUAACGAUACUCGGUAAAGUUCAAAUCGAUCUUUAAAUGAAAGAGUUUUUAGUUAAACUUUACUUGUAUCGAAAAAAGAAUUAUAUAAAUAAUUAUAAUGGUUGUAUUGCAGAUGGCAAAACCAACUUUGUGCUACACAAAUUAGAUGCAGUAGAUGAGGCAAACUUUGGAUACAACUAUAGCUUAGUAGGAGGAACAGGAUUGGAUGAAAGUCUAGAGAAAGUUGAAUUCGAGACAAAAAUUGUGGCUGGCUCUGAUGGUGGAUCCAUUGCUAAGAUUACAGUUAAAUAUCACACCAAAGGUGAUGCAACUCUAUCUGAUGCAGUGCGUGAUGAGACUAAGGCCAGAGGAACUGGACUUAUCAAGGCCAUUGAGGGUUACGUUUUGGCAAAUCCUGAUUAUUAAAUGAAUCUACACUUGGUUUAAUUUUGGUUGUAUCGUGUCAUGGGAAUAAUAAUUGAAGUUUAAGAUAUGGUUGUUUAAUUACAU
rnacentral:lncRNA from 1 species